UUGAGAUGGGGACAUGGGGGGUCCCAGCUUGGAUACUCAGUUGAGUACUGAUCCACUUAGUUUGAGCCUUCCUUAGAAAUCCAGAUGGCUGGAAAAUGGACAGCAACCA